rnacentral:rRNA from 1 species
GUGGGGAAUAUUGGACAAUGGGCGAAAGCCUGAUCCAGCCAUGCCGCGUGUGUGAAGAAGGUCUUCGGAUUGUAAAGCACUUUAAGUUGGGAGGAAGGGUAGUAACCUAAUACGUUGCUACUUUGACGUUACCGACAGAAUAAGCACCGGCUAACUUCGUGCCAGCAGCCGCGGUAAUACGAAGGGUGCAAGCGUUAAUCGGAAUUACUGGGCGUAAAGCGCGCGUAGGUGGGUCAGUAAGUUGGAAGUGAAAUCCCCGGGCUCAACCUGGGAACUGCUUUCAAAACUGCUGAGCUAGAGUACGGUAGAGGGUGGUGGAAUUUCCUGUGUAGCGGUGAAAUGCGUAGAUAUAGGAAGGAACACCAGUGGCGAAGGCGACCACCUGGACUGAUACUGACACUGAGGUGCGAAAGCGUGGGGAGCAAACAGGAUUAGAAACCCUUGUAGUCC